UUUUAUUAAUGAAUGAGUCGCAGAAAUUUUUUGUAAUAAUCUUCGUGUUGCGGUGAAAAAUAAAACAAUUGGUAACGAUAGAAUCCGGGUUCGUUCGGUGGCGUUACAAAUAUUUCGUGUGUCAUACGAACAGUUCCUUCAUGUCUGUUUCAUUCGAACUGUACGAUCGUCGCAGUUUUCAACUCAUACGAAACGAGAUUUGGAAUUUUUUUAUACCUAUUAGUAAGGCAUCAAGAUUAUAUUUUAUGGUAGUGUAUUUUAUCUCAUAAAAUUAUAAAUUAGGGCAUAAACAAAUCCACAUUUCAUGGCAUUCGCAGUAUUUCUCAAACUGUUUACACCGCGAUUUGCGACUGAUCACAACAGCGGCGUGUAACAUCUUCUGACAAUUAUAUAACAAAAGUAUUAUCUGAUGCGGUGGUCAAAUUCUCCUUGCACGCCAAUAAUGAAGCCAUAAAUGUAAUACGAUUAACAUUAACAAACAGAAAAAUGAUUUCCAUUGUUGCGCUUCCGGGAAUCUUGUGUUUUGUCAGCUGACUGCACUCCAGCCUUUCAUACUGAGUGAGGUUGACCUGCGCCGGUGCUGGCGGUGCGAGGGGCAGGUGCGUGCCUCUGCCAUGCUUGCUGCGCACAUCUGUUUGUUUGUUCGCAUGUACCGCGCGGCUAUUUCAGUGCGCUAUCGGAGGGCACCGCAAAUAGCGCGCCCAGAAUACCGCGCAAAGGUUAGCUAAAUAUCGGCACUAUGCGACUCGCUCGCACCGUCACCCCUCAGUCCUCGCGCACCACUGACCACUCGCACGCUGCACUGGUCUGCUCUAAUUAGCCAGGUCCACCCAAUAAUAAAGAGGAGCCAGCAGUGUCGGCGAGUGGGACGUGGCCACCACCCACAGGAGCCGGCGCGUGCUGCUGGCGACACUCCAUCACGCCGAGCUGGAUUCCUCCGAUAUACGUAAAACAACAACAUAUAUAUCUAUCCAUACGCACAACUAACUAUGCAGUAUAGAGCAAUAUUCGUAUUUAUUACUUUCUUAUUUAAACGAUUAAUGUUUGUAGAAAACAGCUCGUCCGAUUUGGAUGAAAUUUUGGAUUUGAAGUUAAAGGGGGAGAAACUAAACUGCUGAACCGAUUGUAAUGAUGUAGAUAUGGGGAUUUCACAAAACUAGAAGACAAAUAUAGGAUAUUCUUUUUUUUUCUUCAACCAUAAUUAAGGAUGCAAAAGAGGGGAGAUGUUAAACUGUUAACUCGAUUGUAAUAUAUUGAACCUGGAAGAUAACAUUAGUAAUGUUUAUUUAUUCAAAUUAUAGUUACAUAAUUUUCUUUAACGGUGUGUAAAGAUGACAUAUUUUGGGUUUUAUUACCCCUAAAUAAGGAGGUUAAAAGGGGAAAAGAAUAAACCGUUGUACCGAUUAUGGUAAAAUAUGAUAUUAUCUAUAUCAUAUCCAUAAAAUAAAUCUAAAGAAAUCUCUUAAUUUAUGGUACUUGUAGAUUUUUAUUGAAGAGAAGAAUCAUGGCUAACAGUACAUAGUAUUUGUUAUAAAAUUGCUUUGUGACGAACUUUUCAACUGAGAAUUUCGAGGGAUGUGCUGCGUCCACAGUUAAUAAGAAAUAAAUAGCGGAGAAUGUAUGCCAGAGCAUCGCUAGUCUCCGCACCACAGGCCAAUGAAAACUCACUGCCGCCGCAUAUAACAGUACCGCAUUUAUUGAUAUACAUACAUCGUCCGAUCAAGAUUAAAAUUUCUAUUCAACUGUUUCUCAAAAAUAGGCUGUUGUUAAAAAUAAUACGAUGAUUAUAAAUCAACAUUCACGAGGCUCUAGCUCGGAUCUGAUCCCGGGAAGCAACUGUGAAGAGAUGUGCAAACUGAAUAUAUUUGCCAUUUUACAGCAUUACAGGGUCUCCGGCGUCCGUGCCCCACUGUAGUCAGUCGGAGGGAGAAGAGAAGCGUAGCACACCUAGCCAGCCACAGCUCUACGAAACGCAACCACACUCUACAAGUCUCACACUGCGUUGUCGGCCACCGUACAACACUGGGAGCUAUUGGUCAGUGUCAGCAUACCAUAGUGUCUUAUAAUUAAGCAUCGAGAAUCUAUCAUCUCUUUCCUAAUGAUAAGCGCCACGCAUCAUCACUAUUAACGGAGUUUUGAAUUUAGAAAUACCUACGGUAUGACUCUCACAAGCGCAGUGUUUGUCAUGUUAGGGCAUUUGUUAUUAAUUCAAAUAACACUCAACUCAAUAUGCAACUCUACAUUCUUGCUAGCGGUAGAGCGUUACUAACUCAACUAGU